rnacentral:rRNA from 1 species
GACGAACGCUUGCGACGUGCCUAAGAAAUGCAAGUCGAACGGGGUAGCAAUACCUAGUGGCGAACGGUCGCGUAACACGUGGGCAACCUGCCCUGAAGCGGGGGACAACGGGGGGAAACUUCCGCUAAUACCGCAUGUGGAUUCGGAGUGGCAUCACUUUGCAUCCAAAGCCGCAAGGCACUUCAGGAUGGGCCCGCGGCCUAUCAGCUAGUUGGUGAGGUAACGGCCCACCAAGGCUUCGACGGGUAGCUGGUCUGAGAGGACGAUCAGCCGGAUU